UGUGCUUAUAAACCUUAGUCAAGAUGCUGAUGUCAACCUACCAGUCAAACCUCUAAUUUUUGCAUUGGCAAUGGGAGCUUGCCUUGGAGGAAAUGGGACACUGAUUGGAGCAUCUGCAAAUGUGGUGUGUGCUGGGAUUGCUGAACAGCAUGGCUAUGGAUUUUCCUUCAUGGAGUUCUUCAGGUUGGGCUUCCCCAUGAUGCUGAUGACCUGCACGAUAGGCAUGUGCUACCUGCUUGCAACUCACAUCGGACUUCGCUGGAACACAUAAACGUUCCCUCUACAUGGGGAAGCUAAAAGACUUUGAGUGUGUCUGUAGUUUGCUUUUUGUGUGUGUGUGUUUUGAAUGACACAUCUGUUCUUCUUGGAAGGAUCCAUGUAGACCUGGUUCAUCCGGAGGGACUAAGCUUUACAUGCAGGAGAGGUACAGAGACGAUAAACCAUGGGAACAUCUGAUCAUCUGCUGUAUUCUUACAGGUGUAUCACACUGCUAUGGUGCUACUGCUGCUUUGUGAUAAUGCUACAAAGUGAGAGGUUUUUGGAAAACCUGUAUAUUUUUGCCAAAAAAUGCAGAAAACCAGAAGAUUCCCUUUUUUAAAUGAAAAAUAUGCUUAUAUUAUUUAUUGAUGCACAGUUUGAAUUAUGAACUAUUCAUUUUUGAUGCAUCUGCUGAAAGGGAUCUUCUGUGGCCCACAAUUGUUGAAAUGUUGGACGGUUUAGAAUUCUAAAAAUUAUAUAAUUUACAUAAUUUACCAUAUUCAGAUAAUCUAUAUAGUUAUCCAUUCAUUUCAUGUUGAAAAUUUUGACC